GUAGUCCAUGCCGUAAACGUUGGGCACUAGGUGUGGGGCUCAUUCCACGAGUUCUGUGCCGCAGCAAACGCAUUAAGUGCCCCGCCUGGGGAGUACGGCCGCAAGGCUAAAACUCAAAGAAAUUGACGGGGGCCCGCACAAGCGGCGGAGCAUGCGGAUUAAUUCGAUGCAACGCGAAGAACCUUACCAAGGCUUGACAUACACCGGAAAAGUGCAGAGAUGUGCUCCCCGUAAGGUCGGUGUACAGGUGGUGCAUGGUUGUCGUCAGCUCGUGUCGUGAGAUGUUGGGUUAAGUCCCGCAACGAGCGCAACCCUCGUCCCAUGUUGCCAGCGGGUUAUGCCGGGGACUCAUGGGAGACUGCCGGGGUCAACUCGGA
rnacentral:rRNA from 1 species